rnacentral:rRNA from 1 species
GCACAAUGGGCGCAAGCCUGAUGCAGCCAUGCCGCGUGUAUGAACGAAGGCCUUCGGGUUGUAAAGUACUUCAGCAGUGAGGAAGGUGGAUAUGUUAAUAGCAUAUUCAUUUGACGUUAGCUGCAGAAGAAGCACCGGCUAACUCCGUGCCAGCAGCCGCGGUAAUACGGAGGGUGCGAGCGUUAAUCGGAAUUACUGGGCGUAAAGCGCAUGCAGGUGGUUUGUUAAGUCAGAUGUGAAAGCCCGGGGCUCAACCUCGGAAUUGCAUUUGAAACUGGCAAACUAGAGUACUGUAGAGGGGGGUAGAAUUUCAGGUGUAGCGGUGAAAUGCGUAGAGAUCUGAAGGAAUACCGGUGGCGAAGGCGGCCCCCUGGACAGAUACUGACACUCAGAUGCGAAAGCGUCGGGGAGCCAAACAGGAGUUACGUAUACCCUCGGUAG